CAUGCGCUGCCCGGUGCGUGAGGAUAACUAUAUCCCCGGGGCCUUAAUCGAUCUCGAGGGAGCUGUCCCUGACCAGGCCCGUGGGCUUGGACAUACGGCGCCCACCUACGUAAGUAGGUUCCCGGGAUCGCAUAUCCCACGGCCAGGGCGGCACUUAU
rnacentral:other from 1 species